rnacentral:piRNA from 1 species
UGCCUGCUUCCAGACAUGGGGU